AUGCAUCUCUACAAGUUGCCGGGCUUGGGGUGGAACCGGUCGGGUCGCAGGGACACUUCUGAGAGCUCCCCAGCGCUCUCGGCCCCGCAGCUGGGGGCUCGGUCUGGCUCCCGGAAGGCGAUCGGAGACUUGACAUCGGCCCGUUCGGGAGUUGGAGGGUUCAUCUGCGAGGGGUCGUUUGCCCUCCGCCCCGAGCCUCACAGCUGGGUUGGCAUAGCCCCACGGGUCUCGGCAUCCCAGCUCCGCCCGGCUGGCUGGUGCGUAACCUCUGCUCUCCGCGCGCCCCGGUGCACCGCUAAAGAGACCAUCCCGCAGCCCAGACGGGAAAAAAAAAAUGUCAGCAUCCAAGGGUUACGCGCAGCACAGCUGGGUUCGCGCGAAGGAGAGGGCGCCCGAGCACUCCCAGUAAUUCAAUUAGUCAGGUUUCUAGAAGGUGGGGCCCGGGAUGGGGAGGGAGUGGGGGUUAGGAGGCGUGGGGAAGGGAGGAGAUUAGGAAAACGCCUCUUUUCUCGUGGAGCAGACCAAUCGGGUUGGAUAGAGGGAAAAAAAAAACCAAAACCCCGAUCGGUAAGCAAACAGCAGGCCGGGGCCAGACUGGCUGCUCCAGCCGCUCCCCACCCCUUCCCAAGUAAACUGCAAGGGGUGGGGGUGGAGGGGGGGGGGGCGAAGAAAAAAAAAAAAUCAGCCCACAUGACCCAGGCGGCGACGGCGCAGGCUGCAGGCGCCUCCCCCUGUCGGGCCGGGCUCCGCGCCGCGGCCCCCGCGCACCCGUCCACGUCCACGCGCGCGGCCCCGAGCUCCCGCGCGGCGGCGGCGGCGGCGGCGGCUGUCGGCUUUACACGCAGGUCAUUAACGAGGGGGCGUGCCCGAGGAGAUUUUUUUUUUUUUUCCCAUAAAGCAUUUUCUCUCUCUCUCUUUUUCCUCCCCUUUCUCUCUUUUGCAAAACUGACUUUUACCCCUUCCCACUCCUCGCCAGUCGUUGCAAUCCCUCCCGGGCUGCUCGUGCUGCCGCUGCUGCACUCAAGUUUAUUUUCCCGCCUGGAGAAGGUCUGGGGAUUCUCUUGGUGGUUUUCACACCUCGCUGCUGCGCCUGAGGAGGGAAAGAGGAGCCGCUGCUGGAGGAACUGGAAGGUUUUCUGA
rnacentral:lncRNA from 1 species